AUGCUACAGGGGGAGUUUACAUAUUUGCAAAAUGGAAAGAGGUGUCACCACAAGCCAAAGCAGUAUAUUUUGGCAUGGCUCAAUGGCCAUGAGCACAAAGAGCAUGAGAGCAGAGGCUUGCCUCCUCCCCCAGAACCAAACAAGGGAGGUGUUUUAAGUGAGCGUAGCGUCGGAGCUAGCAGAGCUGCUUGGCUAGCCAAACUUGUGCCCAGCAACCUCGCUGGUGAUGUUGGAUGUCUCGUGUGUACCUGCGUGAGGAAACCAAACAACAGAGCUUCAGGGAAGGGAAGGGAUUGGAAGAUGAAAAGCCAAGAUUAA
rnacentral:rRNA from 1 species